rnacentral:rRNA from 1 species
CAGAAGAAGCACCGGCUAACUCCGUGCCAGCAGCCGCGGUAAUACGGAGGGUGCGAGCGUUAAUCGGAAUUACUGGGCGUAAAGCGCAUGCAGGUGGUUUGUUAAGUCAGAUGUGAAAGCCCGGGGCUCAACCUCGGAAUUGCAUUUGAAACUGGCAGACUAGAGUACUGUAGAGGGGGGUAGAAUUUCAGGUGUAGCGGUGAAAUGCGUAGAGAUCUGAAGGAAUACCGGUGGCGAAGGCGGCCCCCUGGACAGAUACUGACACUCAGAUGCGAAAGCGUGGGGAGCAAACAGGAUUAGAUACCCUGGUAGUCCACGCCGUAAACGAUGUCUACUUGGAGGUUGUGGCCUUGAGCCGUGGCUUUCGGAGCUAACGCGUUAAGUAGACCGCCUGGGGAGUACGGUCGCAAGAUUAAAACUCAAAUGAAUUGACGGGGGCCCGCACAAGCGGUGGAGCAUGUGGUUUAAUUCGAUGCAACGCGAAGAACCUUACCUACUCUUGACAUCCAGAGAACUUUCCAGAGAUGGAUUGGUGCCUUCGGGAACUCUGAGACAGGUGCUGCAUGGCUGUCGUCAGCUCGUGUUGUGAAAUGUUGGGUUAAGUCCCGCAACGAGCGCAACCCUUAUCCUUGUUUGCCAGCGAGUAAUGUCGGGAACUCCAGGGAGACUGCCGGUGAUAAACCGGAGGAAGGUG